rnacentral:rRNA from 1 species
GAUGAACGCUGGCGGCGUGCCUAAUACAUGCAAGUCGAACGAGUGGCGAACGGGUGAGUAACACGUGGGCAACCUACCCUUCAGCGGGGGAUAACCAUCGGAAACGAUGACUAAUCCCGCAUACUGAAGGCUGGUCCCGCGGGGCAUUAGCUAGAGGGUGGGGUAACGGCCUACCGUGGCCUUGAUGCAUAGCCGACCUGAGAGGGUGAUCGGCCACAUUGGGACUGGGACACGGCCCAAACUCCUACGGGAGGCAGCAGUAGGGAAUCUUCCGCAAUGGACGAAAGUCGGACGGAGCAACGCCGCGUGUGUGAAGAAGGUCUGCGGAUCGUAAAGCACUGUUGUUAGAGAAGCGGUAUCCAAACAGAAAGCCACGGCUAACUACGUGCCAGCAGCCGCGGUAAUAC